rnacentral:rRNA from 1 species
GAUGAACGCUGGCGGCGUGCUUAACACAUGCAAGUCGAACGAAGCAUUUGCGACAGAUUUUUUCGGAAUGAAGUUGCUUAUGACUGAGUGGCGGACGGGUGAGUAACGCGUGGGUAACCUGCCUUGUACUGGGGGAUAGCAGCUGGAAACGGCUGGUAAUACCGCAUAAGCGCACAAUGUUGCAUGACAUGGUGUGAAAAACUCCGGUGGUAUAAGAUGGACCCGCGUCUGAUUAGCUAGUUGGUGAGAUAACAGCCUACCAAGGCGACGAUCAGUAGCCGACCUGAGAGGGUGACCGGCCACAUUGGGACUGAGACACGGCCCAGACUCCUACGGGAGGCAGCAGUGGGGAAUAUUGCACAAUGGAGGAAACUCUGAUGCAGCGACGCCGCGUGAGUGAAGAAGUAAUUCGUUAUGUAAAGCUCUAUCAGCAGGGAAGAUAGUGACGGUACCUGACUAAGAAGCUCCGGCUAAAUACGUG